AAAAUGCGAUAAGUAAUGUGAAUUGCAGAAUUCAGUGAAUCAUCGAAUCUUUGAACGCACAUUGCGCCCGCCAGUAUUCUGGCGGGCAUGCCUGUUCGAGCGUCAUUUCAACCCUCAAGCCCCCGGGUUUGGUGUUGGGGAUCGGGCUGCGGUUCUACCGCGUCCCGGCCCCGAAAUCUAGUGGCGGUCUCGCUGCAGCCUCCAUUGCGUAGUAGCUAACACCUCGCAACUGGAACGCGGCGCGGCCGAGCCGUUAAACCCCCAACUUCUGAAUGUUGACCUCGGAUCAGGUAGGAAUACCCGCUGAACUUAAGC
rnacentral:misc_RNA from 1 species